ACAGAUUUUUCCUCUCAAAUUUUCCAUGAUCAUCAGGGGGCAGAGAAAGUAUGCCAUAAAACAAAUGAUUGGAACUAAUGACAAGGAGACUAGGUUGGACGUAAAAUGUGUGAAGUCUAGACCAAGAUAUUAAUACUAACUAAUUGACUCUAAAACAUAUUAAAGCCAAGCAUGGGAUACUUUAGAUACUAUUUAAAAUCUCACUUGACAAUUUUCCACCACUUCAUGCCGUUAUUAGCAAUUAGGACAGAUAAUUCAGGCCAAUUUAUGUACCGACUACUUGCUAAGAAUCUACUAUGUGCUCUGUAUAUGCUGGAAGGUAUAUAAUGAUGAAUAUGAUGCUAUCUCUGCCUUUACUGAGUUUACCCUUUAAUUUGCCUAGGAGGUGGGAAAAUAAACACACAUAAAAAUAAUUACAAUAUAAACUUUUUGUUAAAAGUUAUACAAAUUUUUGGAGUUUAGAAGGAAGGGGAGAAUCCACUGUUUGUGGUUCUCUCAUUCACAUACAUAGCAAACAUAUAUUAAGCUUCUGAUAAAUACUGGUUAUUUUAGGUACAGACAUCGAGUUCUUAGGAGGAGGUGUCAUUUGAUAUUAGCUAUGAAAUAUAAGUAGACAUAUAAUUUCCAGAAAGAGAUGGUGCAGAAAGAACAUUUUAAUAGCAGGAACCAUGGUUAGCUAUUCCAUUUGUGAGUAGCAAGGGCACAUACAGAAAGAGUAAAUGAUAAAGCUGUAAAGACUUGUUGGUCCCUUCUUGAGGAAGGAUGUGAAUAUGAGCCUCAGGCACUUGUUCUUGAUUUGGUAAGCAAUCCAGAAGACUUUCAAGGUUGAUCAGAAAGAGAUGUUUUUAAAUUAAAUAGAUGUCUGUCACUCCCUGGGAAAGAAUCUAUUACCUCUGAAAAUUUCUGCAAACGGGGUCUCUUAUUGAGUCAUUCAGAGAUAUCACAUUGAGUCUGUAGUUAAAAUAAUAAAGAGUAUCAUGUUUCCUGCCUCUAAGAACAGCUCAGAAAAGUUCCUCGGGAUUCACUGCAGCCACAGCAUAAGGCAAAGUGACAGAAUCACUAGCGGACGGGACAUGACGACAGCACACACAGCAUACUGGCAGGUGUCUCACAGGGAUGAGGAGGUAGUUAAUCAAAACAUCAUGUUGCUUGUAAGGCUAAGAGGGAGAGCCAGAGGUAAUAACCACAUGCAGUCACCCAUAAUCUUUGAGGAAAGGGAAAAAAAAAAAGAAAAAAAAAUCAAAGUUAAAAUUGCCUCUACUACCCACGUAUGCCAUGCCAAAGCACAUUUGUAG
rnacentral:lncRNA from 1 species